GCGCCGGUCGUAUAGAGGUUAGUACUUUGCUUUCCCAAUUUCCUCUUUGGGACUAUCAUUGGAUCAAGCAACAACCCGGGUUCGAAUCCCGGCCGGCGCA
rnacentral:tRNA from 1 species